AUACGGAGGGUGCGAGCGUUAAUCGGAAUUACUGGGCGUAAAGGGUGCGGAGGCGGUUUGAUAAGUCGGAUGUGAAAGCCCCGGGCUUAACCUGGGAAUGGCAUUCGAUACUGUCAGGCUAGAGUAUGUCAGAGGUUGGCGGAAUUCCUGGUGUAGCGGUGAAAUGCGUAGAUAUCAGGAGGAACACCAGUGGCGAAGGCGGCUAACUGGGGCAAUACUGACGCUGAGGCACGAAAGCGUGGGGAGCAAACAGGAUUAGAAACCCUAGUAGUCC
rnacentral:rRNA from 1 species